CCCGAAAUGAGUUGGAGACACGCUAAUCUUGAAAGAGGAUAUCUCCCUGGCAUAUGAGAAAUUAAACUUCUCCACCUUUAAGCCAACGGCUUUUAUUUUGCUUUGUAUAAAAGCAGUUACAUCAUUAGAUGUGAGGUCAGGGGCAAGCCGAGAGACAAAAACUUGCCGCUUUGGCUCCCACCAGAGGUUUUGGCACCACAGAUCUGGUACCUGUGACGGCAAUAUCCGGUGGUCCGGGACGUUUAUUAAGUGGUGGGAUCGAAAUAGAUGGGAUGGGCUUUGGAACGGACUCGACAGACACGGACGCUACAGUACUAACUGGCUGCAUGUUCUCCGAGAUGAUCGAUUCGGAAGCCGAAACUUGAUCACCAGCAGUUGUCGUUGCCCUUGGAGUAGCGAACGAAAUUAGCUGCUGCACUAUCGGAGUGGACGGAGAUAGUUGAUCAGCAGCGAGCGGUCGAGGGACAGGCACUUGCAGAUCACGAGGAGUGACUUUUUUGCGCCUAGGAGACUCAUUCAGCACUUUAAAACUGCUGAAUUGAGAUUCCAUGGCUAGAAGCCGAUCGUACUGCUUUUUAAAGCACACGGUCAGCUCCUUAAAGCCCUUUCGCGUCUGCCUCAUAAACGUGACCAUGUCAUUCUCGAUAGACCGACAUGCCNUUGUCGUUGCCCUUGGAGUAGCGAACGAAAUUAGCUGCUGCACUAUCGGAGUGGACGGAGAUAGUUGAUCAGCAGCGAGCGGUCGAGGGACAGGCACUUGCAGAUCACGAGGAGUGACUUUUUUGCGCCUAGGAGACUCAUUCAGCACUUUAAAACUGCUGAAUUGAGAUUCCAUGGCUAGAAGCCGAUCGUACUGCUUUUUAAAGCACACGGUCAGCUCCUUAAAGCCCUUUCGCGUCUGCCUAAUAAACGUGACCAUGUCACUCUCGAUAGACCGACAUGCCUCGCAACUGUAAUGCAGACCAUUACGCUUCGAAAUUGCGUCACCCACGAGGCCUGAGAACCCAAUACAUUUUGCGUGCACUACGUUAUUGCAGAGCCAGCAAGGGAUGAUCGGUUGGUCGUGGGUGAUCUGCUUUUUGCAAGUCUUAGCGGAGCACACAACCAAGCCAGAAAAUAAAAUCAUUGCACCACCAAAACAUCUCGAGUCAUUGCGCAGAUCUUUUAAUGUUCGGUCUAGUGCUUCCAAUGCUCGUUUGUGCGCCAUUGAACAUGCGUCCCAUAUGAUGAUUUUUGAUGCUACUAAAACUUUGGCCAUUGCGUAGUUUUUCGAAAUGUUCAUUCUGGACGUUGAUAUGCAAUGACUGCACCAUCAAGUGGCCCAUGCGACACCAAGCCAAAGCCUGUUACGCGCGGAACCUAGCAGAACGCAGCCCUCCUCCCGCCCAACCGACCGAGGGGCGCUGCCGCAUGACGCGCGGCGCGAUUAACCGAACCAGUCGCGAGCAUGCAGGAAAGAUAGAUGUUAGGCUAAUAUUCGAGGAAAAUUAGAUCUAAU
rnacentral:lncRNA from 1 species